rnacentral:rRNA from 1 species
CCUGAUCCCAUUCCGAACUCAGAAGUUAAGCUCUCUUGCGGCGAUGGUAUUGCACGAGUGAUCGUGUGAGAGAGUAGCGCGAUGCCGGUU